GGUCAAGUGAAGAAGCGCAUACGGUGGAUGCCUUGGCAGUCAGAGGCGAUGAAAGACGUGGUAGCCUGCGAAAAGCUUCGGGGAGUCGGCAAACAGACUGUGAUCCGGAGAUGUCUGAAUGGGGGAACCCAGCCAUCACAAGAUGGUUAUCUUACACUGAAUACAUAGGUGUAAGAGGCGAACCAGGGGAACUGAAACAUCUAAGUACCCUGAGGAAAAGAAAUCAACCGAGAUUCCCUUAGUAGUGGCGAGCGAACGGGGACCAGCCCUUAAGUUGUAUUGAGAUUAGCGGAACGCUCUGGAAAGUGCGGCCAUAGUGGGUGAUAGCCCUGUACGCGAAAAUCCCUUUGCAAUGAAAUCGAGUAGGACGGGGCACGAGAAACCUUGUCUGAAUAUGGGGGGACCAUCCUCCAAGGCUAAAUACUACUGACUGACCGAUAGUGAACCAGUACCGUGAGGGAAAGGCGAAAAGAACCGCGGAGAGCGGAGUGAAAUAGAUCCUGAAACCGUAUGCGUACAAGCAGUGGGAGCCCACUUUGUUGGGUGACUGCGUACCUUUUGUAUAAUGGGUCAGCGACUUAUUUUCAGUGGCGAGCUUAACCGAAUAGGGGAGGCGUAGCGAAAGCGAGUCUUAAUAGGGCGUCUAGUCGCUGGGAAUAGACCCGAAACCGGGCGAUCUAUCCAUGGGCAGGUUGAAGGUUGGGUAACACUAACUGGAGGACCGAACCGACUACCGUUGAAAAGUUAGCGGAUGACCUGUGGAUCGGAGUGAAAGGCUAAUCAAGCUCGGAGAUAGCUGGUUCUCCUCGAAAGCUAUUUAGGUAGCGCCUCAUGUAUCACUGUAGGGGGUAGAGCACUGUUUCGGCUAGGGGGUCAUCCCGACUUACCAAACCGAUGCAAACUCCGAAUACCUACAAGUGCCGAGCAUGGGAGACACACGGCGGGUGCUAACGUCCGUCGUGAAAAGGGAAACAACCCAGACCGUCAGCUAAGGUCCCAAAGUCAUGGUUAAGUGGGAAACGAUGUGGGAAGGCUUAGACAGCUAGGAGGUUGGCUUAGAAGCAGCCACCCUUUAAAGAAAGCGUAAUAGCUCACUAGUCGAGUCGGCCUGCGCGGAAGAUGUAACGGGGCUCAAACCAUGCACCGAAGCUACGGGUAUCACCUUUGGUGAUGCGGUAGAGGAGCGUUCUGUAAGCCUGUGAAGGUGAGUUGAGAAGCUUGCUGGAGGUAUCAGAAGUGCGAAUGCUGACAUGAGUAACGACAAUGGGUGUGAAAAACACCCACGCCGAAAGACCAAGGUUUCCUGCGCAACGUUAAUCGACGCAGGGUUAGUCGGUCCCUAAGGCGAGGCUGAAAAGCGUAGUCGAUGGAAAACAGGUUAAUAUUCCUGUACUUCUGGUUAUUGCGAUGGAGGGACGGAGAAGGCUAGGCCAGCCUGGCGUUGGUAGUCCAGGUUUAAGGUGGUAGGCUGAGAUCUUAGGUAAAUCCGGGAUCUUAAGGCCGAGAGCUGAUGACGAGUGUUCUUUUAGAACAUGAAGUGGUUGAUGCCAUGCUUCCAAGAAAAGCUUCUAAGCUUCAGGUAACCAGGAACCGUACCCCAAACCGACACAGGUGGUUGGGUAGAGAAUACCAAGGCGCUUGAGAGAACUCGGGUGAAGGAACUAGGCAAAAUGGCACCGUAACUUCGGGAGAAGGUGCGCCGGUGAGGGUGAAGCAUUUACUGCGUAAGCCCACGCCGGUCGAAGAUACCAGGCCGCUGCGACUGUUUAUUAAAAACACAGCACUCUGCAAACACGAAAGUGGACGUAUAGGGUGUGACGCCUGCCCGGUGCCGGAAGGUUAAUUGAUGGGGUUAGCGCAAGCGAAGCUCUUGAUCGAAGCCCCGGUAAACGGCGGCCGUAACUAUAACGGUCCUAUGGUAGCGAAAUUCCUUGUCGGGUAAGUUCCGACCUGCACGAAUGGCGUAACGAUGGCGGCGCUGUCUCCACCCGAGACUCAGUGAAAUUGAAAUCGCUGUGAAGAUGCAGUGUAUCCGCGGCUAGACGGAAAGACCCCGUGAACCUUUACUAUAGCUUUGCACUGGACUUUGAAUUUGCUUGUGUAGGAUAGGUGGGAGGCUUUGAAGCGUGGACGCCAGUCUGCGUGGAGCCAACCUUGAAAUACCACCCUGGCAACUUUGAGGUUCUAACUCAGGUCCGUUAUCCGGAUCGAGGACAGUGUAUGGUGGGUAGUUUGACUGGGGCGGUCUCCUCCUAAAGAGUAACGGAGGAGUACGAAGGUGCGCUCAGACCGGUCGGAAAUCGGUCGUAGAGUAUAAAGGCAAAAGCGCGCUUGACUGCGAGACAGACACGUCGAGCAGGUACGAAAGUAGGUCUUAGUGAUCCGGUGGUUCUGUAUGGAAGGGCCAUCGCUCAACGGAUAAAAGGUACUCCGGGGAUAACAGGCUGAUACCGCCCAAGAGUUCAUAUCGACGGCGGUGUUUGGCACCUCGAUGUCGGCUCAUCACAUCCUGGGGCUGAAGCCGGUCCCAAGGGUAUGGCUGUUCGCCAUUUAAAGUGGUACGCGAGCUGGGUUUAGAACGUCGUGAGACAGUUCGGUCCCUAUCUGCCGUGGACGUUUGAGAUUUGAGAGGGGCUGCUCCUAGUACGAGAGGACCGGAGUGGACGAACCUCUGGUGUUCCGGUUGUCACGCCAGUGGCAUUGCCGGGUAGCUAUGUUCGGAAAAGAUAACCGCUGAAAGCAUCUAAGCGGGAAACUUGCCUCAAGAUGAGAUCUCACUGGAACCUAGAGUUCCCUGAAGGGCCGUCGAAGACUACGACGUUGAUAGGUUGGGUGUGUAAGCGCUGUGAGGCGUUGAGCUAACCAAUACUAAUUGCCCGUGAGGCUUGACCAU
rnacentral:rRNA from 1 species